GAAACGAUAUGAGGCUGUGAAUUAAUUCUGCUCACUGUCACAGAUACAUACAGUUUUUAAUUUUAUCUUGAAAAACUAUGUACAUUCAUAAUUCACAAAGUAAGUUUAUAUUAAAUAACGCGGUGUAUAAAAUGAGUCCGUUAAAAACACCCCUGUUCCACCCCUGCACUUGGUUCGUCCCUCCCCCGCCCACGAGGAAGUGAACUGAGCAACACUGCUGCGUAAAAUCAGCUGAGUGCGGAUUCUAGGUUACUGUCAAGUGUUUCCGCCUGGACAUCACUUCCUGUCCGGGUCUUACUGCGUGGAUCAGGGGUUAUGUAAAAUAUUGAUUCCCUCGUUUAUCACGCUCAUCUCUGCGUUUAGACGAUUCACUGAAGCCGAACGGUGCUGGGGCUCAGGUCCUGUUUUCCUGCAGUAGAAGAUAGGCUAUCUUUCUUAUUCAGGUAUCUACAGUUAAACAUCCCGGGCUGAACAGCUCGUGGGGGGGAGAUGAGACUGGAUGAGAAAACAUGUUCAGAUCCUUUGAGUUUCUCAUUAACGCCGACAAACCUCCCACUACUCCCGAAUCUACUCAACGACGAGGCUCGUUGUUGUUGAUUUGUAGCUCGGGUCGGACUGAAGAGCCCGAAGUUGCGUUUUCGCAGCGUGACGGUCAGCGUGUAGGGCUGUUCCUCAUUUUUAAAAGAACUGAAUGACUUACUACGUUUUUGGGGAACUUUUUGACUUUUUUUUUUUUUAUUUACUUGCUGCUAUUUCUACCUCAACUGUAACGUUAAAAAAAAAAAACUACCAGAUGAGUCUACCAUCUCCGUAAAGGUGCGAUAUUUGUAUACUAGGAUUUGUAAUUGUGCUGUGUUGUUUGAGGUGUGUGUGUUGAACGUUUCGUGUUGUGAUCAAACGCCAAGAAAGAUUCCUAAUAUAUGUAAAUGUAUUCGAUACAUCUUUUAAAAAAUGCCUUUACUUGCAGACGGCAUGAUCCUUUAUAUAAUAUCAUAAAUCCAGCUCUAUAAAGUCUUUUUAAAAAAAAAUAAAUUCUGGUUUCAACUAAUGUCCCUUUCUUUGGCUUCUCAGACGGACGCUGAGCAUGCUGGGACAGCACUGAGGCAUGAUGGACCCCGAGGAGGCAGAACUCCAGAGUGACUACCGUUACCGUAGUUACGCAGCCGUCAUCGAGAAGGCGUUGCGCAAUUUUGAGUCUUCCAGCGAGUGGGCUGACCUCAUCUCUUGUCUUGGAAAACUCAAUAAGGUUAGUUGAAGGUCAACGGUAGGACGGAGAUUCGCUGGGGUUCUUGUAGUCCACGUCUGUGAAAUAAUGAUGGACGUGUUACCAAUACGUUACUUCUCUGGACCGCACCACAGCUGGAGUUAUUAAUGCAUCCAUAAAGGACUUAUCUUGACUUGUCCUUAAUAAAAUAUCACUUAAUCCUGUACAUGUCUAGAAAGUUAUGAUUUGGUGAGCGUGAAGUAGGACUGUUACCUUUACUGUAGGUGGUUCCUUCUUGUUUCUUCUCAAGACGCAUUUGUGACAGAUUUGAAUUUGAUCUUCCACACAACGCAAGUGUAAACGCACCGUCUCUCCGUCAGGGACGGGCGAUAUCGUAUCGUUUAUUUACGAUAUCCCGGUAGAAAUUCUCCCCACAAUAAGAAUUAGUCUUCCCGUGAUGAUGAUGAUAACGAUAAAGCCUAGGCGAUGACGUGUUUGUGUGUGCGACGCAUUCGCAGCUCGCGUGCGGAGCGUGAGAAAACGAGUACGGCGGAAGGCGGACGUGAAACCGAGGGAGGGGUUUAUCGCUAGACGACGAGCUACCUCUACAAUCUGGAACUGGUUUGUUUACAGAAAAUCGGUUUUACUGUUAGAUCAGUGUCGGUGUUUCUGAGGCUCUCGAGAUCACCGCUAUGACUUGUAGCGUAAAACAGUGGUGAACGGUACUAUAUUUAAUAUCGUGAUAUAGUUUUAAGUCCAUAUCGCCCAUCCCUACUCUCCAAGCCAGGAAAGCCAAUGAACGGCAACUAUCAUUUCUGAGCUGAUUUUGUGUAUAUAUAUUUACAUAUUUAUGUGUGUGUGUGUGUGUAUAACAUAUAAUGGUACAGCUACAUACAGGAUUUCAGUCUGGCCAUCUGGAGAUGCAUUUGGCUAUAAGUGUAAAUGCGUGUGGUUUUAAAACCUUCUCAGGAUAAAAUCCAAAUACAAGAGCAUCCAGUGGUCCGGUGUAAAUGGGUCUGAGAUUGUCCAUCGCUUCUUUUUAUAUAAUGCAUCUUUAAGUUGAGUUUAGCAUAAGCUGUAAUACACAUUUGCAGAUUAUUUUCUCCACUCAGAUUUCACGCUGAGAAUUGGGACUUCCCAGACUUCCUUGCUGGAGUGUUUAAGGUUGUGUAAUGAUGACCAAGCUCGGUUAAACUGUGCGAGUGAACACGAGACUGUACGUUUGAGUGGCAUUUCAGUUCCCUACAUGAACGAUGGGUGUUAGCUUCACUGACUGAUCUGUUUCUCUGCUGUGGUGUUAGUUCUCAGUCCUUUUGCAGGAGGAAGUUUGCUUAGCUUCCAGUCAGCUAAUACAGAGACGUAAACGUCCACAGACCAUAUAGCACAUUCACACUUCUUUAAUAAUGCCAGUGGAAUGAAAGAACUUUUUGUCACGUGAAUGCCUCGGCACAAAUGUCAGUGAUCGUGACCAGAACCUUACUGUUAGGUCUCUUCCUCUUCCUGAUUGUUUUUUCUUUCUUUCUGGCUUUUACUUUUUUCUUAUGACGUGCUUUUUGAUUGUUUUUUUUUUUUUUUACCCAAUAAAGAAACACAGGAAUGACCUACCAAACCGUUACGUGUUAGUAUAACUCUUCAUAUAGUUGUAGUGUCUGAUGUUGGUUGCUGAAGCAGG
ensembl:lncRNA